GACGAAGGGGGCUAGCGUUGUUCGGAAUUACUGGGCGUAAAGCGAGUGUAGGUGGUCAUCCAAGUUGGAUGUGAAAAGCCUUGAGCUCAACUCAAGAAAUGCAUUCAGGACUGAAUGACUAGAGGACCGGAGAGGAUAGUGGAAUUCCAGUGUAGUGGUGAAAUACGUAGAGAUUGGGAAGAACACCAGUGGCGAAGGCGGCUAUCUG
rnacentral:rRNA from 1 species